UGGGGAAUAUUGCACAAUGGGCGCAAGCCUGAUGCAGCGACGCCGCGUGGAGGAUGAAGGUUUUCGGAUUGUAAACUCCUGUUAAGUGGGAAAAAAGACCUGUACCUAAUACGUACGGGGGAUGAUGGUACCACUAGAGAAAGCACCGGCAAACUUCGUGCCAGCAGCCGCGGUAAUACGAAGGGUGCGAGCGUUAUUCGGAAUCACUGGGUGUAAAGAGCGUGUAGGCGGUUUCUUAAGUCACUUGUUAAAGAGCUCAGCUUAACUGAGUAUAUGCGAGCGAAACUGAGAAUCUAGAGUACAGAAGAGAAGAGUGGAAUUCUCGGAGUAGCGGUAAAAUGCGUAGAUCUCGAGAGGAACACCAGUUGCGAAGGCGGCUCUUUGGUCUGUUACUGACGCU
rnacentral:rRNA from 1 species